UCAGAAAUGAAAGAGAGACAUCACUACAGAUCCCAUAGACAUUACAAGAUAAUAAAGGAAUACUGUGAACAACUCUGUUCCCACGAAUUUGAUAAAGUAGGAGAAAUGGACCAAUUUCUUGAAAGACACAAUCUGCCAAAACUCAUACAAGAAGAAAUAGACAAUCUAAAUAGGCCCAUGUCUAUUACAGAAAUUGAAUUAAUAAUUCAUAAUCUUCCAAAAUAGAAAGCAGGUUCACUGGUAAAUUCCAGGCAUUUCAGGAAGAAAUUAUGCCAAUUGUCUGUAAUCUUUUUCAGAUGAUAGACGCAGAAGGAAGACUUUCUAACUGAUUUUAUGAGGCCAGCGUUACCCUAAUACCAAAACCAGACAAAGACAUUAGAAGAAAAGAGAACUGCAGAGCAAUAUCUCUCUUGAACAUAGAUGCAAAUUUCCUCAACAAAGUAUUAGCAACUCAAGUCUUACAAUGUGUAGAAAGAAUUAUAUACCACAGUCAAGUGGGAUUUAUCCCAGGCAGCCAAGACCAUUUCAACUUUCGAAAAUCAAUUAAUGUAAUCCAUCAUGUCAACAGGCUAAAGAAGAAAGCUCACAUGAUCAUAUCAAUAGAUGCAGAAAAAGCAUUUGACAAAAUCCAACACCCAUUCAUGAAUGUAGAUUAGGGAUUGCCUAGGGCUGCUGGAGGGAGGCACUAGGGAAGGGGGAAUGACUGCUGAAGGUAGAGAGUUUCUUUCUGAGGUGAUGACAGGUGCUAAAACGAUUGUAGUGAUUCUCACGCAACCCUGAAUAUACUAACAACGGUUGAAGCACACAUGCGAAGGGAGUGACUGUGUGGUCUGUGAAUUACAUCUCAGUAAAACUGUUACAAAAAAUAAAUGAAGAAAAGGAGAAGAGGCAGAACAGCUCAGCACUGGGCAGCAGGCUUGGAGGGAACUAGUGAAAUAUAUGUCAUGGGAGCUGAGAAGAGUGGGUUUCUAGAAAGAGGGAUGGUUAACUGGGUUGAACGCUGCCUAGGGGGUAAAUACAGAGAGACCAGAGAAUUGACCAUUUAGUCUGGCAACAUGGCAGCAAUUGCUGAACGAUGCUCGUGGUGGAGUUGAGGGGGAAGCCAGCUGGAAUGGAUCGGAGAAGGAGGUGAGCAAGGAAGACAACCACUGAUGGCUUCUUCAGGAAAGUUUGCUUAGGAGGGACGUAUGGAGUUCUGGCGCUUCGUGUUUUGGAAGAUGCAACAAGACUCAGACGUAGUUUUUGUUCUCCAGGCUUACGGAGUCAGGAAGGACCUGGAGCCCCCGUCACCACGUCGUCCAGUGCCGGGGACUCUGGUGGCUCAGCAGGAUGGCCGUCCUGCCUGUUGGCACAUCCACUCGGCUGAGGAACUUCUCGCCGAUCGUGUUUUGCCAGCUCAGCUUUGGCCCCGUGCCUCUGGGCUUCUCAGAAGGUAACCUGACCUUCCUAUUUGUUUGCCAUCGUCUCUUGGCACCUCAUCCCCACGUCCUGGGCAGCUGUGAGCGGGAGACUUUCUGCCCAGGACGCUUCUCUCUCCCGGUCCUUCCUCUGCGGGGGCGGUACAGACCCUCAGUGGCAGCCCCUCCGCCAACAUUGCUCUUCCUCUGCUCUCCUCACUUUCUACCCCUGGGCCUUGGACCCAACGCCCUGACACCCAUGCAGCCCCUUCGGCUCAGAUGCGUCCACUGUCCGCCGCAGUGACUGUGGUUUUUCGGGGACACCUACAACCUCCUCUUGUCAUAGCGGGUGGAAGGCCUGGUAGACCAAAUAGAGGACCUCAUGGGUCCUAUUCGAGAGCCACAAUACUAUUAUCAUUAACUGGAUGGAUGGAGGAUCAGGCUGAGUCACCUGGACAGGCCACCCAGCUGGUGAGGAUCAGGGCGGGGGCUCAAACCCACAGAGUCAGAAUGCCCAAGGGUGUGUGCUUGAACACGCACCUGGACAAUACGAGGGCGAGUGGGACGGGGGAAUAUCGAGGGGGCUCUUCAUAAAUCCUUCCACGUCACCAGCAGGCUCUCAUCUCUCUUUUUCUGUCAGUAGAUUUAAUAGGUUGUGAACUGACGCAUAAAUUCCCAAAAGUAGGUUUGUUCUUUAAUAAGAUGUGUAUUUAAAUAUCUCAUUCUCUCUUUGUAGGGAGAAUAAAAUGCGUUAAAAACAGGAUGACAGAGUAGGCCUGGGGGAAAAGUUCAGAAAAAAUGGCAGUUUUUGUCCUCUCUGGCAUCCAGUAAGACAGACUCAUGGAAAAGACAGGGCACCAUGGCGAUGUCAAGGGCGGGCAUCCUUUCCCUGUCUGGAGGACCUGCCCUGAGCCAGCGGGACCUCGGAGCCACACGCGUGUGAACAUGGGGCUGUGGACACGUUGUGAGAAUGCCACUUUCCCAGUGGUGCCUCAUGUUCAUCUUGUGAUUGCCAGAGUGUUUGACGAGUGCAUUGAUGAACGUGGAGGAGCUGCAUUGAAUUAUGCCCCUGGACUCUGGGCUGGACAGCUUGGGAAGAGAAGCUUGUACACGGACAGUGAAUACGCAUGUGACAGGAAUGGAAGGACAGAGAGAGAAAAGUGACAGCGCCACCAAAGACUGAUGGAGCUGUGAAGGUGAGGUGGGGAUGUUGACACAGAGACCAGAGGGGCUUCUGAAGACCGAGGCUGGAGCUGUGGCAGGGGUGCUGCUGGAGGUCGUAGACAGCGGUGGAACAUCCUGCCUGGUUACCCAACAGUAUGUUCUGGGCUAUUUGAACUCUGUCACAAAAGGUGCUCUCUACUGAGAUUCCUGUGCCUGCCAGCCUGCCAGCCUCUCCACCCAAUGAAGAGCCGCUCUGAGGAAGGAGCAGCAGAGGCCCGUCCUGGAUCGCAGGCUCGUCUCUCCAGCAUUUGGGCACUUGCGGACACCACCCCUUUCCUUGAGCUUGUCGGCGCUGAUAUAAUGACGAGACACGUUUCCUUGGCUUCCUCCCAGACAGCCUCUCGCUGGGUUUCCUGUACUCUGUCCUGCCGUUGUGGAAGAUGUUUGGAGCUGAAUAGUCCCUCACAACCGGAAUGCCACAGCCGUUCAUCCCUCCUUCCAGAUGGCAUCUACUGCAGAGUCGCCACUCAGGAAGUUUGAAGGGGCUUUAAAAUGCAUGUGUUACGGUUUUCUCCACAUCUCCAGUCAGCUGGUAAUUUCUAUUACUCUCAUCACGAAUCAUGUUUCCAUCCCCUUUGCUUCUGCUUUUGGUAAAAACCAGUUAUUUCCUACCUGGCCUAUUAUUCCCCUCUUUCACUGCAUUUCUUGGGGCCCCAGACCCUCAACCUUCUCACUGAAGUGUCUUAGUGUUGGUGCUAGAACUGCCCUCACAGAGUUCUGUGCAAUGACUCCGGGCUCUCCCUGAGCCCCUUCAGAGCUACUCACUGCUCUGGUCUCCCUUCCUCUUUUUCCGAGGACUCUGAUCCCGUCACCGGGCCUCACACUCAUGACCUCCUCUAAAUCUAAUCACCUCCCACAGCCCCACCUCCAAAUGCCAUGCCCUUGCGAGCCAGGGCUCCAGCACGUGGCCUUGAGGGGACACGAGCGUCCGGUCCAGUCUGCUCCUGCUUGUGUGCCUGGUUGUCUGGGUGAGCGUCUUUCUGCAAACUCACUAGUCAUGCAGGAUGUUUCUGUACACACGGAUUUACUGCUUGAUGAAGUCCAGGGUGACCUGCCGCGUUUCCCCAGAACUCCCUCCACUCACCUUCCCUCGAGUGCUGUCCUGAGCACUGCUCCCGAGGUGGCCUGCACCAUGGCGGCCAGGGCUCCUCCCCGUGCGGAAGAGGAGCCCUGGGGGGCGUCCGUGAAUCCUGCUUCCUCAGCUGCACAGCUGGGAGCCUGCGGUGCUUCUAUUCUUUGGUUUCUAUCUUAAAAGAGUUUUGUUUUCUGCCUAUUUUUGCUGAGCUUCCAGCAUUUAUUGGAGAAUAGUUGGACAAAUCAAUUUGUAAUCUCGAUGCAUUCGUUUCCUGUGCUGCUGUGAUGCAUCACCACAAACUUAGCGGCUUGAAGUAACACAGAUGACGUAUUCUACGGUUCCGGAGGCCAGAAGUCCAAAAUGGGUCAGGUCUAAAAGCUGGGUGUCGGCAGGGGUGCAGUCCUGCUGGAGGCUCUGGAGGGAAUCCACUUCCUUCCCUUUUCUGGAUCCGGGGCCACCUGCAUGCCUUGGCUCCUGAUCCCACGUGCCUCAGACCUCUGCUUCCAUGGUCACAUCUCCUUCUGACCCGGAGCCCCUGCCUCCCUCUUCUAAGGACCCUUGUGAUCACAUUGGGCCCACAUGGAUCACCCAGGAUCCCCCCCUCAUCACAAGAUCCUUAACUUGCUCACAUCUCCGCAGUCCCUUCACCAUGGAAGAUAACUUCCAGGGUCCAGAGAUUAGGACGAGGGCAUCUUUGAGGGGCAUCGCUUGCCUCUCCCCCUCUACUUAUUUGUCCUUUGAACCUGUGGAUAAUACGUUGAAUUGGAAAUAAACAUAUUAAUAUUCAAA